UGAUCUUCAACCUGGAGCGGUUUUGAUGGGGAACAGCCAUCAAAGGAAACGGGGAAAGUUUGGUGCAAGUCCAACGCUGUCCCGCAACUGUAAAAGAGAUUUGCUUUGAGUAGGUUUUGAUUUAAACGGUUUAACCCGAUCAGCGAUCGACUCUCAGCACCAGGGCAAUAGACGUUUGCUUGGAUAUCAAAAAUAUCUAAUGCAUAACUUCCCAAAUACUUGCCUAUCUCUCAGCCAGGAUGCCCACCGCCAGCAAUUAUUAAUU
rnacentral:ncRNA from 2 species